rnacentral:lncRNA from 1 species
UGGGCGGUGCAGAUGUUGCUGGUGGCCUUAUCUCUCCUGAUAUGCUGCUCUCUGGUCUGCAUCGCCAUCCGCAGUGCAGGCUUGCCAGAGGAGUCGACGCUGACCCCGAUGAUUCUACCGGGCAUCAUCCUCUUGUACUCCUGCGAUGUGGCCAGGAACGCAGCAUGCGGACCGCCGUAGCCCAUGGGCACCCCGAACCUCUGAGCAGAUCCAACGACGAUGUCGGCUCCAAGCUCGCCCGGUGGCUUGAGAACCGUCAGCGCCAGCAGGUCGGUCGCCAUCACAACCUUGACGCCGUGGGCAUGGGCGUUCUUGAUGAAUUCACCGUAGUCCAAGAUCUCACCUUCCGUGCCAGGGUACUGAACCAGCACCCCACAAAC